AAUCAACGCUGGCGGCGCGCUUAACACAUGCAAGUCGCACGAGAAAGUGGAGCAAUCCAUGAGUAAAGUGGCGUACGGGUGAGUAACACGUGGAUCAUCUACCUCUUAGUGGGGAAUAACCCCUGGGAAACCGGGGCUAAUACCGCAUAAGCCUGAAAAGGGAAAGCCAGCAAUGGCGCUGAGAGAGGAGUCCGCGGCCGAUUAGCUAGUUGGUAGGGUAAAGGCCUACCAAGGCAAUGAUCGGUAGCCGGCCUGAGAGGGCACACGGCC
rnacentral:rRNA from 1 species